rnacentral:rRNA from 1 species
AUUGAACGCUGGCGGCAGGCCUAACACAUGCAAGUCGAACGAGUGGCGGACGGGUGAGUAAUGUCUGGGAAACUGCCUGAUGGAGGGGGAUAACUACUGGAAACGGUAGCUAAUACCGCAUACCAUCGGAUGUGCCCAGCUGGGAUUAGCUAGUAGGUGGGGUAAAGGCUCACCUAGGCGCCGAUCCCUAGCUGGUCUGUGAGGAUGACCAGCCACACUGGAACUGAGACGCGGUACAGACUCCUAAGGGAGGCAGCAGUGGGGAAUAGUGCACACUUGGAGCAAGACUGAGGGAGCCAGGCCGCGGGUAUGAAGAAGGCCUUCGGGUUGUAAAGUACUUUCAGCGGGGAGGCGUUACCCGCAGAAGAAGCACCGGCUAACUCCGUGCCAGCAGCCGCGGUAAUGC